UACGGAGGGUGCAAGCGUUACUCGGAAUCACUGGGCGUGAAGAGCGUGUAGGCGGGUAUAUAAGUCAGAAGUGAAAUCCAAUAGCUCAACUAUUGAACUGCUUUUGAAACUGUAUACCUAGAAUGUGGGAGAGGUAGAUGGAAUUUCUGGUGUAGGGGUAAAAUCCGUAGAGAUCAGAAGGAAUACCGAUUGCGAAGGCGAUCUACUGGAACAUUAUUGACGCUGAGACGCGAAAGCGUGGGGAGCAAACAGGAUUAGAUACCCUGGUAGUCCACGCCCUAAACGAUGUACACUAGUUGUUGUGAGGCUCGACCUUGCAGUAAUGCAGUUAACACAUUAAGUGUACCGCCUGGGGAGUACGGUCGCAAGAUUAAAACUCAAAGGAAUAGACGGGGACCCGCACAAGCGGUGGAGCAUGUGGUUUAAUUCGACGAUACACGAAGAACCUUACCUGGACUUGACAUAGUAAGAACUUUCUAGAGAUAGAUUGGUGUCUGCUUGCAGAAACUUAUAUACAGGUGCUGCACGGCUGUCGUCAGCUCGUGUCGUGAGAUGUUGGGUUAAGUCCCGCAACGAGCGCAACCCUCGUCCUUAGUUGCUAACAGUUCGGCUGAGAACUCUAAGGAGACUGCCUACGCAAGUAGGAGGAAGGUGAGGACGACGUCAAGUCAUCAUGGCCCUUACGUCCAGGGCUACACACGUGCUACAAUGGGGUAUACAAAGAGCGGCAAUACGGUGACGUGGAGCAAAUCUCAAAAAUAUCUCCCAGUUCGGAUUGUAGUCUGCAACUCGACUACAUGAAGUUGGAAUCGCUAGUAAUCGUAGAUCAGCUAUGCUACGGUGAAUACGUUCCCGGGUCU
rnacentral:rRNA from 1 species